rnacentral:rRNA from 1 species
AGCGAACGCUGGCGGCAGGCCUAACACGUGCAAGUCGAACGGAUCCUUCGGGAUUAGUGGCGGACGGGUGAGUAACACGUGGGAACGUGCCCUUUGGUUCGGAACAACUCAGGGAAACUUGAGCUAAUACCGGACGUGCCCUUCGGGGGAAAGAUUUAUCGCCAUUGGAGCGGCCCGCGUCUGAUUAGCUAGUUGGUGGGGUAAAGGCCCACCAAGGCGACGAUCAGUAGCUGGUCUGAGAGGAUGAUCAGCCACAUUGGGACUGAGACACGGCCCAAACUCCUACGGGAGGCAGCAGUGGGGAAUCUUGCGCAAUGGGCGAAAGCCUGACGCAGCCAUGCCGCGUGAAUGAUGAAGGUCUUAGGAUUGUAAAAUUCUUUCACCGGGGACGAUAAUGACGGUACCUGGAGAAAAAGCCCCGGCUAACUUCGUGCCAGCCGCCGCGGUAA